AUAUAUCCAAAAUCAAGAAUGUGGAACAUACUCUAUCUGACAUAAUCAUUUGGUAACUGAUGCAAUUUUUUGCCCGUCUUGAAAAUAAAAAAACUAAAUAUAAAAUAAACAACUCUGCUAAUGCUCAGGUUGGUUGUCAUAUUAUGCAACAUAGUUAAUAAUAUAGAAACCAAUGGGGAAAACAUAGAACUUCUUUUGUCAUACAAAAC
rnacentral:lncRNA from 1 species